AUGUCUUCAAGCCCGGCGAGGGACGGCGCGGGCGGGAGCUCGCGGAACUCCCGCGGCGGCUUCGCCAGGAACCUCGCGAGGCUCCCGUCUAGCAUCGUGGAAGGGCUGUCGAGGUCGAUCGCCCGCCGGGCUCCGAGGAGCCGCCGGCGGGACAUCCAGGUCCCCCAGCACCACCAGCCGCCGCCGCAGUGGCCUCCUCUUCCAGCUGCUCCUCCGCCCUUCGUGCCGGAGGAGCUGUUCUUCUUCAAUGCGUUCGAGCAGCAGUACGGCGGCCACCACCCGUUCUUCUACGGGUGCCGUCUCAGCGAGGUCCUGGCGAUCGCCCGGCGAGAGGGCAAGCACGUGUUCGUGUACCUCCACGACCCGGCCCACCCGUACACCGAGCCCUUCUGCCGGGGCACGCUCUGCUCGGACGUGGUGGUGGAGUUCCUCGACACCAACUUCGUGUCCUGGGGCGCGGUCACCGGCAGAGGGGAAGGGUCGGGCAUGGCCGCGUCGCUGCAGCCCGGCAGCUUCCCCUUCUGCGCCGUCCUCGCCCCGGUCUCCAGCGAAAGCAUCACAGUCCUACAACGGGUAGAAGGGCCGGUUACGCCGUCGGAGCUCGUGGAGAUGUUGCAGAGAACCAUCGAUGAGCAACGUGUUGCUUUUCGAGCCUCGAUGGCUGAUGAGCAAGCUGCGGCAUUCAGAGCCUCUAGGGCCGAGGAGGAAGAGAGGAGGAGAUCGGCGCUACGGCUGCGACAAGAGCAGGACGCAGCUUACCUCGAGUCACUUCGGAAGGAUCAGGAAAAAGAAAGAUCCAAGAAGACUCUUCAGGAGGGAACCGCAAGACAAAAGCCAAAGCCAAGCACGAAAUAUCCUGGCCAGGCAGGUGGAGAAACUAGCAGGAGAACCCAGAUCAGAGCACCUACACAUAAGGAAACUGCACCUUCACACAGAACGGAAGCAAACACCAAGGUAAUGAUAAGAUUUCCCAACGGCGAGAGAAGGCAGCAGAGCUUCCGUCACACGGACACCAUAAGGGAAAUCUACAAGUAUGUUAAUUCCUUGGGCAUACCUGGCAUAGGAAAGUAUCAGCUUGUAAGGAGCUACCCAAGGAAAACCUACGGGCAACAGCAGCUGGAGAUGAAUCUUGGAGAUGCAGGUUUCCAACCAAGUGUGACACUGUACAUUGAGCAGCUUCAGUAA
rnacentral:rRNA from 1 species